rnacentral:rRNA from 1 species
UACGUAGGGGGCAAGCGUUGUCCGGAUUUAUUGGGCGUAAAGCGCUCGCAGGUGGUCCGUCGCGUCGUGCGUGAAAGCCCCCGGCUCAACCGGGGAAGGUGGCUGCAAACUGGGCUUCUUGAGGGGGAUAGGGGAAAGUGGAAUUCCGGGUGUAGCGGUGAAAUGCGUAGAGAUCCGGAGGAACACCAGUGGCGAAGGCGGCUUUCUGGGUCCGCCCUGACGCUGAGGCGCGAAAGCGUGGGGAGCGAACGGG